rnacentral:piRNA from 1 species
UCUUCCAAACAUGGACUUCAGAUCGUGAC